rnacentral:rRNA from 1 species
UAGUGAUUGGCGGACGGGUGAGUAAUGCUUGGGAACUUGCCUUUGCGAGGGGGAUAACAGUUGGGAAACGACUGCUAAUACCGCAUAAUGUCUUCGGACCAAACGGGGCUUAGGCUCCGGCGCAGAGAGAGGCCCAAGUGAGAUUAGCUAGUUGGUAAGGUAAAGGCUUACCAAGGCGACGAUCUCUAGCUGUUCUGAGAGGAAGAUCAGCCACACUGGGACUGAGACACGGCCCAGACUCCUACGGGAGGCAGCAGUGGGGAAUAUUGCACAAUGGGGGAAACCCUGAUGCAGCCAUGCCGCGUGUGUGAAGAAGGCCUUCGGGUUGUAAAGCACUUUCAGUUGUGAGGAAAAGUUAGUAGUUAAUACCUGCUAGCCGUGACGUUAACAACAGAAGAAGCACCGGCUAACUCCGUGCCAGCAGCCGCGGUAAUACGGAGGGUGCGAGCGUUAAUCGGAAUUACUGGGCGUAAAGCGCACGCAGGCGGUUUGUUAAGCUAGAUGUGAAAGCCCCGGGCUCAACCUGGGAUGGUCAUUUAGAACUGGCAGACUAGAGUCUUGGAGAGGGGAGUGGAAUUCCAGGUGUAGCGGUGAAAUGCGUAGAUAUCUGGAGGAACAUCAGUGGCGAAGGCGACUCCCUGGCCAAAGACUGACGCUCAUGUGCGAAAGUGUGGGUAGCGAACAGGAUUAGAUACCCUGGUAGUCCACACCGUAAACGCUGUCUACUAGCUGUUUGUGACUUUAAGUCGUGAGUAGCGAAGCUAACGCGCUAAGUAG